rnacentral:rRNA from 1 species
CUGAUUAUACUGUGAGAACGAAAGUUCUUGCUUUUAACUAGAUAACAACUUUCAGCAGUGGAUGUCUAGGCUCGCACAUCGAUGAAGAACGCUGCGAACUGCGAUACGUAAUGCGAAUUGCAGAAUUCAGUGAGUCAUCGAAAUUUUGAACGCAUAUUGCACUUCCGGGUUAUGCCUGGAAGUAUGUCUGUAUCAGUGUCCGUAAAUCAACCUUGCCUUUCUUCCUUCUGUGUAGUCAGUGGAGGAUGUGGCAGACGUGAAGUGUCUCGCUGUGGCUGGUUUUGAACACAGUUUGCGAGUCCUUUUAAAUGGACACGACUUUCUCUUUUUUGUUUCUGCGAGGUGCUGUGCUCGAACGCGGUGGUUUUCGGAUCGCUCGCGGCUGUUGGCGACUUCGGUGAAUGCAUUAUGGAGUGGACCUCGAUUCGCGGUAUGUUGGGCUUCGGCUGGACAAUGUUGCUUAUUGUGUGUUUGUUCCGCGUUCGCCUUGAGGUGUACUUUCUGCUGUGUGCUUGAACUGGGAUCUGCUUUGUUAGUAGUGCGCGGUGAUCGUUAUUCGCGGGGACAUCUGUUGUUGUGCAUGCUCUUAGUGUGUGCUUGAGCAGAAGAGAGGUUUGAAUUUGGGAAAGUAGU